GGGUUGUGAGGUUAAGCGACUAAGCGUACACGGUGGAUGCCCUGGCAGUCAGAGGCGAUGAAGGACGUGCUAAUCUGCGAUAAGCGCCGGUAAGGUGAUAUGAACCGUUAUAACCGGCGAUUUCCGAAUGGGGAAACCCAGUGUGACUCGUCACACUAUCAUUAACUGAAUCCAUAGGUUAAUGAGGCGAACCGGGGGAACUGAAACAUCUAAGUACCCCGAGGAAAAGAAAUCAACCGAGAUUCCCCCAGUAGCGGCGAGCGAACGGGGAGGAGCCCAGAGCCUGAAUCAGCAUGUGUGUUAGUGGAAGCGUCUGGAAAGGCGCGCGAUACAGGGUGACAGCCCCGUACACAAAAGCGCAUGUGCUGUGAGCUCGAUGAGUAGGGCGGGACACGUGGUAUCCUGUCUGAAUAUGGGGGGACCAUCCUCCAAGGCUAAAUACUCCUGACUGACCGAUAGUGAACCAGUACCGUGAGGGAAAGGCGAAAAGAACCCCGGCGAGGGGAGUGAAAAAGAACCUGAAACCGUGUACGUACAAGCAGUGGGAGCCCCACCACCAAAGCAUUCUCUGGUGUUGAAGGCCCUGCAAAGCAGCAUCGCGGUGGCGGAGCGUCGUUUGCGACGCCCAACACACAAAACAAGCGGUGAGUGCUUUGGGGUGGGGUGACUGCGUACCUUUUGUAUAAUGGGUCAGCGACUUAUAUUCUGUAGCAAGGUUAACCGUAUAGGGGAGCCGAAGGGAAACCGAGUCUUAACUGGGCGUUAAGUUGCAGGGUAUAGACCCGAAACCCGGUGAUCUAGCCAUGGGCAGGUUGAAGGUUGGGUAACACUAACUGGAGGACCGAACCGACUAAUGUUGAAAAAUUAGCGGAUGACUUGUGGCUGGGGGUGAAAGGCCAAUCAAACCGGGAGAUAGCUGGUUCUCCCCGAAAGCUAUUUAGGUAGCGCCUCGUGAACUCAUCUUCGGGGGUAGAGCACUGUUUCGGCUAGGGGGUCAUCCCGACUUACCAACCCGAUGCAAACUGCGAAUACCGAAGAAUGUUAUCACGGGAGACACACGGCGGGUGCUAACGUCCGUCGUGAAGAGGGAAACAACCCAGACCGCCAGCUAAGGUCCCAAAGUCACAGUUAAGUGGGAAACGAUGUGGGAAGGCUCAGACAGCCAGGAUGUUGGCUUAGAAGCAGCCAUCAUUUAAAGAAAGCGUAAUAGCUCACUGGUCGAGUCGGCCUGCGCGGAAGAUGUAACGGGGCUAAACUGUGCACCGAAGCUGCGGCAGCGA
rnacentral:rRNA from 1 species